rnacentral:rRNA from 1 species
UUGGUGCUCAAAGCUCAGUUGGAACCACACCAAUCCAUCCCGAACUUGGUGGUGAAAAAGCUGAGGGGGCUUAGUUACUCGAUGGGGUGCUGUCCGGAAUCUAAGUUUUAGUGCCAG